CCUACGGGGGGCAGCAGUGGGGAAUAUUGCACAAUGGGGGAAACCCUGAUGCAGCGACGCCGCGUGAAGGAAGAAGUAUUUCGGUAUGUAAACUUCUAUCAGCAGGGAAGAAAAUGACGGUACCUGACUAAGAAGCCCCGGCUAACUACGUGCCAGCAGCCGCGGUAAUACGUAGGGGGCAAGCGUUAUCCGGAUUUACUGGGUGUAAAAGGAGCGUAGGCGGUUUAGCAAGUCAGAAGUGAAAGCCCGGGGCUGAACUCCGGGACUGCUUUUGAAACUGUUGAACUAGAUUGCAGGAGAGGUGAGUGGAAUGCCAGGGGUAGCGGUGAAAGGCGUAGAGAUAAGGAGGAACACCAGAGGCGAAGGCGGCUUACGGGAAUGUAAAUGACGCUGAGGCUCGAAAGCGUGGGGAGCAAACAGGAUUAGAUACCCGGGUAGUC
rnacentral:rRNA from 1 species